rnacentral:piRNA from 1 species
UAGCAGCUAAACAAGCACUGGCCUCAAGA